UUCUCAAUCUAUACUUCAAAAUAAAAGCAAAAUUUCUCGUCUAUUUGAGAGUCUUUCCCAUGGAGAAUGGAUACGCUUCACAAACCUCUUCUCCAUGUUGGGAAGGAUCGUCCAAUGAUUCUCGCAUACUUCUUGAAUGUAUGAGGCAUCUUGAGAGUAGAUUUCCUAUGCCUAAAGAAGAAAAAUAUAUCUUGUUAAUUCUGGAUAUACAAAUAUGCUUGGGUUUCUAGCACCAUGCAGUCAAAGGUACCAUCUAUGAGAUUUUAGAGAAAGGAGGCAACAUCCUCGAGGUAGGGAAGCGGUGUUUAACUAUCAACAUUCUUCACUACGAAACGUAAUUGAACGUUGUUAAAUAAAUGCCUCUUUACCCGGUCGAUACACAAAAAUAUAUACCAAUAGCAUAUUGUACUGUUCACAAUUAUGUUAGAUUAAAUGAUCGUGAAUAUGAUCUAUUUAAUGACUAUAGCAAUGAAUCAAUGAUCGUUGAAGAUUUACAAAGUUUGUCAGAACAGAGUAUUCUAAUUGAAGUAGAUGGAAGGUAACAUCAUUUAAGGUGAAUGGCUCGAGUGGGAGACAAUAUUGCAAAUCAAAUUUGGGCAACAUUUGAAGGAUAUAUAUUAUUGUUAUUUUUAAUUUUGCUCUUGAGACUUGAAUUGUAAUAGAUAUUCUAAACUCUAGAUGAUGUUUAUUUCUUUUUAUUUCUUUUUA